rnacentral:rRNA from 1 species
UACGUAGGGACCAAGCGUUGUUCGGAAUUACUGGGCGUAAAGGGCGCGUAGGCGGUUUGCUAAGUUGAAUGUGAAAACUCUGGGCUUAACCCAGAGCCUGCAUUCAAUACUGGCAGGCUAGAGUUCUGGAGGGGAUAGCGGAAUUCCUGGUGUAGCGGUGAAAUGCGUAGAUAUGCGGAGGAACACCAGUGGCGAAGGCGGCCACCUGGACCGUCCCUGACGCUCAAACACGAAAGCUAGGGUAGCGAACGGG